rnacentral:rRNA from 1 species
UACGUAGGGUGCAAGCGUUAAUCGGAAUUGCUGGGCGUAAAGCGUGCGCAGGCGGUUUUGUAAGACCGAUGUGAAAUCCCCGGGCUUAACCUGGGAACUGCAUUUGUGACUGCAUGGCUGGAGUGCGGCAGAGGGGGAUGGAAUUCCGCGUGUAGCAGUGAAAUGCGUAGAUAUGCGGAGGAACACCGAUGGCGAAGGCAAUCCCCUGGGCCUGCACUGACGCUCAUGCACGAAAGCGUGGGGAGCAAACAGG